CGCGAGAAACAAAGCCAUCGAUGCCCCUCAUCUCUCCCAAAUCGCCGCCACUAACCGCCUCGUCACCCUCGUCCUCCCACCUCGCCGCCGGCCCUCCCCUCCGUUCCUCCCAUAUCGCUGCUCUUGAGGCUACCGGAUCUGCCUCAUCCCCCACCUACCCCAUCCCUCUCACAUCCCAUCUCUCUCUCUCUCUCUCAGUGCAGCUCCUCGUGGCGCCACCUGCGGCGGUUGAUUCAGGCGACUUCCGGCGAAUCCCGCCAUGCCCGAGGUCCCUUCACACCGUGGCGCGCUCCCAUGCAGCUAGAUCUGGCGCCCGCGGCUACCAAAGCCCACCCGCGACCUUCCCGCGAUGGCUAGGGUUUCGGGCGCCGGCGCCGGCGCCAGUGGCCAUGUCGUCUUUCUCGUCCGGAGUCUGAUGGUCAGGUUAUUUAGGUGGAGGUAGUAGCUUGCUAAUGGUGGCUUUCACGUCCAGCUUAAAUACUAGAGGACGUGGACCUGUUUUGGAGGAAGCACGGACACCUUUGUUUUAGUGAGCAGGUGAAUUAAUCAUCCACAUUGUUUCUUCUAUGAUGUUGCUUUGAUGCUGUUGAUAUGAUUCAGAAUUCAGAGAACACUGAUAAAUACUUCUCUCCAUGCCUGUCAAUGUACUGAUUGUUGUAUGCGCUUACUAUUCUGCACAAUUUGGAUUACUAGCUAAAUACUCGUGUGUUGCUACGGUGUAACAAACAUUCAAUUUCAUGAACAUGUCAAAUGAUACACUGUUUCUUGUAGUAUGUGAUAUACUGUUACCACUGGCGGAGCUUCGUGAGGCAAAAGCCAUGGCCCGCCCAGCACUUGGGGUAAACAUACAUGUAGUAGUACAGAUAGACGAGUAGCCCAGCUCACGACUACCUUGUUUGCAUGUAGCAUCGCUUCUUCACGAUUAUUUCUUGGCCUCUGGCCUCUGUUGCUUGACUCCUCUUCCUAUCCAGUAGAGUAGCAGAACGGCGAUAGGGCACGAGCCACACGUACAGCCGCAGGGAGGUCCAGAGAGGUGGCGCGGAGCCGCGGAGGUCGAGUCACCGGUCGCACCGCCGGAGCAAGUAGCAGCGCCGAGUGGUGCGGACGCCCAAGGGCGACCCAUGUAGCGGUGGCCACCCGGGCGAGUAGCAACCUAGACGACGAGCACUACUGCACAAGCACAUGCGCACCCCCAAAACUCUCGUCUCUCGGACAAUACUAAUUUUCGUAUAAAAUGUAGGUUAUAAGUUAUAACACUUUGAAAUUCAAUAAAUUGAUAAUACACAUCUUAAUUUGGUACUAGAUAAUUGUCGUGGAAAGCAAGGCUAAUCAACGCAGAAUCAAUUUGGUUUUCAAGAGAAAAAGAGAUGUAAAGUUGAGAAAGAUUUAUCAGCAGCAGCUCUUCAUCCAUCGCUUGAGUUGAAAUAUUCGUGUUCCUUUUAAUUUGGCCCGCCCAGGUUUUUGUUUGUAGCUCCACCACUGACUGUUAGUUUCCAAUUAUAUUUCGAUACACUGACGUCCUUCUCUUCCUUCGGUUUGAAAUGCUAUUAUGCAACUCCCCAGUUAAAUUCCUUGGUCUUGCUAGCCUCUUCAUCUAAAAACUCACCAUAAGAUAGUACACAUUUUCUUGUCAUUUGUUUAUGUGAUUGUCCUCUCAUAGCAUGCAGUUAUUAUAUAUGCACUUGGGUCAAGUCAACGCAGAGGAUUCAUCUAUAUCAAGUACUGAUCUACUAAUCUAAAAAAAGGUACUAAUCUACUACCGCUGUACAUCAUAGUGAAAAUAAAACUGAAUCCCAGUACCUCACUUAGAUGCAACCUACACCUGAGCUUUAUGCAUUUUAAUGUACAAACAUGCAUAUACUAAGGCUCGCAGCAAGCACACGCACAUAUACACCGGCAGCGGCUCACUGUUAAUCAUCAUGUUUGUCAUUCGUUAAGUAGAAGCUCACUGUUUGUUUGUGCAUCAUGUUUGUCAUUCGUUAAGUAGAGGCUCACUGUUUGUUUGUGCGCAGGUUUCCGAAGAAAGAAAUACUCAAUGCCAUUCAGUGCUUUUCAAUGUGCCAGUCUCUACAUUCAUAGUACAUCACUGAGUUUUACCUUCAACUAAGACUAUUUCCGUUGUGGUGAUUAUUUGUUUAUUCCUUUAUUGCUUAGAUUAGCUCUAACCAUUUUUCAGCCUCCCUUUCUGCUCUUAUUUAACUAUUUAUGUACUUCCCAAUGAUGUACCUAUUGUUGUGUGUAAUUUAAUGUGAGGUGCCACACUCAUCCGUUCCGGCACUAUCGAGAUGGAGGCCAACACCUUGGACGGCUGGAGCUGCUAGUAGAUUUGUCCAAGAUACGGCAGUGUUCAUAGUCAUAGUUCUGGUCACAACUUUUCUUUGUAAUAGUCGUAAUCUAGCCGGGCAACCAAUGUUUCAGAAGUAAUGACCCUUUGUAAGAAAUUCAAAAAAUAUAUGAACAAUCAUGGGUGCAUGGCAAGUAUACUACAAUGAUGAUGAUUAUGAUGUUCUGGUUCACGAUGAUGACGAUGAUGUUUGUUUUCAGUUUUAGUUAGGUUGUAGGGAUGUUGUUCCUCGGUUAAGUUUUAGUUAAGUUGUAGGGAUGUUGAUGGAUGUUGUCAGUUUAAGUUUUGCUGUUAAGAGAAUAUUUAGAUUGUGCAUUACAUUUGGAUGUUAUUCCUCCUGUAAUAUCAACUAUUGUAAUCCCACAAUUUUUUCCAAUAUAUGAUCUCUUCCUCUGGUGUGUA